UGUUGGGACUUUGUGCAGAUAUGGAGUGUAUGACACAAUCUGAAACCAAUAAGUUGUUAAUAAGUGGAAUUGUAUAACCAUUCUCAUUGAAGGCAUUCUAGGUGUCUAUUAGGGUAGGACCCUCCAGAUGAAAACCAGGCUGUGAGGAAAAAGGGCAUAACAUUUAUAGGAAAGGGACUGGGACUCCAGAAAUAUCUUUUUUGAUUUAAAUAUGUAUAAUUUUAUUCAUGUACUCAAUUUGAUGAGCACAUCUAGUACAGUGGACUGUUUUGAGGAGACAGAGUUGGCUCACAUUCAUAUCCUGAUUACAGCCAACUUUGCUGUGCUCCAUAGAAUGUAGAAAAAACACACUGCAAAGAUCACAGAAGAAAUCUCUUAAUUUGUCAGGCACAAACAUCACAUUUAAAUUUAUGUUCAACCAAAAAUAAAGAAAUCUGUUGGUCAGAUAAAGUCUGCCUUCCUCCCUGUAACUGAUGCAUUUUAGGAAUAUUCCUAUCAUAUAUUUUCUUGUGAUAGUUAAACAAAUUAUAGCACAUUGGAUUAUUCUACAUAAUGAAGGAGCUUGCAAUAUAUUAAUUAGAUGGUUUUCUCCUGUCUAAACGCUUUUUAAGUUUAAUAGCAUAAAUUAAAGAAUCUUACUGAGUUACCUUACCUUAACCAUUGAGGAGCGACCCUCAGGCAUGAGAAGGGCUAUGUUAAAAUUUUUGAUCAGUUAGGACUACAUACAUUAUUCAAUAAUGAUGUACAGUAUGGGCUCCAAACAUAUUGACAAUAUAAUUGGGACAAAAAUGCAACAAGCACAAUUCCUCUCAUAUAUAUUAGCAUGCUUUUCCUUUAUAGUAGAUAUUGAAACAUAUUCUGUUUUAGUAUAAGUAUCACUUGAAUUAAAAUAUAUUUCAUGACCGAAAAUAGAGGCUUAAAUGCUCUAAAAAAUAAAAAAAGAACAAAAUUACAUACCAAGCAACACUGAUUCUUGGAUCAAGAUAGUUGAGUUUGGAGGUGCCCAGGGCUAUCUGCUUGUUUUCUUGACGGUCAGUUGCCUGGACCAUUAAUUUCAUAACUCCUUCUUUACACCUUUUAUAAGCUUUGCGUUUCUUUUCCACAAUCCUAAAUAAAGAAACAAACAAAAAAAAAAUAUUAACUUGUUCACUUAAAAGUUAUAAAUAAUCAACACACCUAUUUUUCAACAACAAGGCUAUAGUGCGUCAUGCCUGUCCCAGCAGCACUUCAUGACACAUUGGAUCACUGAAGGGCACACAUUCUCACCUACACAUGGCCAAUUUAGAUCCCCCAAUAAACAUGACCUGCACAUCAUGGUGAGGUCAGACACAGAGGGAGUACAUGCAAACUACAACAGUCAUUAAAUCAGUGCCACUGUGUAGCCUGUAUUUUUCAAUUUCUGAGAGCAGUCAUAUCAUGUGAAAAUGCUUAAAACCUUUUUAAAAAAACCACAAACCAGAAUAUACAAGACAUUUCCAUUACCAUAUGGCUAUUUACCUAUCUCUCUAUCCCUAUUUCUGACACACACAUGUGCUUGGGAGACAACUUAAAGGCUUGUCCGAUUGUAAUUCCUCUCCAAGUUGACGGUUGGUGUUGUUGCCUAAUGCUUCUCUACCUUACCUCUCCUGCAGAUCAUACAACGUGAAGUCCCAAUUAUGUCACUUCCAGGCCAUGGUCCCUUGACCCUUCCCUUUUCGGUCUAGCAUAUUCUUAAGGGGUGGUGCUACCAUCUUUGAUUCAGUUGUGAUUUGACUAAAGUCUGCAUAAGAUCUUGUAUUUUGCUUAAUUAUAUUCACCUCUUCCCACCAUUUAUACAGGGUUCACCUCCUAGAUGCCCCAAACAUAUUCUUGUUUUCAUCUCCACUUUUACAGUGCUAUAGAAGACAGGAUUUACUGAUAGAAUGACAGAGCCAGUGGACCUAACGAUGUUGGUAGAGGCCCUGACAGAAGAAUUCCAGGUGCUCGGGAUCUGGGUGGGGAAUCAAGGAACCCAUGACAGAAGAAUUCCAAGUGCUCGGGAUCCAGGUGGGGAACAAAGGGACCCAACAUGCCAAAUCAGAAAAUCUUCUAGCCCACCGGAUGGAACUCCAUGAGGAGACAGCAUUGGGCCCAUCCCAGAUAUCACUACCCUUUUGUCCUAAAGAUGAGAUUGAGACCUACUUGCUCUUAUUUGAACAAAUAGCAGUUAGACAUCACUGGGAAUGCAAGGAUUAGGCAUACAUUAUGGCCCCUUUUCUGACAGGUGAGGCUCAGAAGGCUUAUUAUGACCUUAAUGAGCGGGCGGCCAAGGACUACAUCUGGUUGAAAGGAGAGGUCCUGGCAUGCUAUGGUGUGACUGUGGACCUGCUGGCCAAACAAUGCUGAAAGUGGCAGUUUGGUUUGGAGGACAAACACGCUUGCAAGUUUUGGGGUAGGCUAGGGUGCUGGUUGAACACGUCCAAGCAAAAUGCAGAAACUGUAGACUGUGUCCCUCGCCGGAGAGUUCCGCAGGCAAGUGUGAAAGAAUAUGCAGAGUGUUCAGAACAGCAGAUCACUGGAAACCUUGGAUAGCGUGGCCUAAAGUACAAGCCCAGCCUAUGUGACAUGGAGUCUGCCACCUGGCCGCAUAUACUCGCAUAUACUAUUUUAAGUGCAGAGAGGCGAGGCAUACUAUUCCCAGCUCUCCGUGGCUAGACAAUCCUAUGGAUUUUUGUUGGUUCCAGAAAGGAUGGUAUUGUCAACCCUCUCACUUCUCCUUGUACUGGAAUGAUGGUGAUGAAUGGUUAUAAGGUAACAGCACUUAUUGAUUCAGGGAGUAACAUCUCCAUUGUUGCUCAGCAGUGUGUACUUCCACAACAGUAGGGCUCUAAACUGACCAAUCUGAUAUGUAUCCAUGGGUAAAACCCACUGGAACAGAUCCGACCUAUGUAUAAUUACAUUUCGGGGGUCACCCGCUUUCUCAUGGUUCCUGUAAUGCACAAUCCCCUUUUCCUUUUGUAAUUGAGUGGGCCUGGUCCAACAGUAAAUCUGGAAAAAUACUACACUCACCUGUGGUACAGGGUCUUGCUGUGGACAAAGAGUCCUUGUCCAAAGUUGUCUCCACACUGUGUAUUAUCCCAGCUCAAAGGAGUUAUGAUGUCUUGACAUUGAGUAGUGACGCCAACACGAGUGACAUCACCUCAGCACCACAGACAGAUGCCCCACCCAGGGAGGUCAUUCCCGAUCCGCUUUCAGAAAUACAUUUUCACUUUCGGCAAUUACCAGAUUUCUUUAAACAGGAAGAAUGGAAUGAUGAUUCCCUUAAAUUUGCUAGAGAUGCAAUGGUUUUGGUAGACCGUCAACGUACCGCAUUUCCCAUGCCUUGGGGUGACUCUCCAAGCCAGUGUUUAGAUCUGGCAGUGCCAUGCUGACACUUCAGUAUGUGAGCAAUGGUAUGAGAAUGCAAUCAGACUUCUUUUUUUUAGGCACAUACACCAUCAGAUCUAAACACUAGCUUUCUUGGGGUUAGCGGGAUACUACUAAUGGUUUGUGCCCCGCUUCUCUGAAAGGGGAACACCCUUGAUUAAUUUAACAAAGAAGCGGACUCUCAAUAAAGUGACAUGCAAUGAAAAUACAGACGCUGCAUUUCGUGACUUUAAGCAGGCCAUCAUGCCAACACCCAAACUAAUGACUCCUGACUUUUCUCCACCUUCUAUCAUCCAGGCAGAUGCUCUGAACACAGGUCUUGGUGCCAUGUUGAGCCAAAGUGUCAAUAGUGAAGAACAGCUUAUAAUGCACCUGAGCCAGAAACAGUUGGACCGGGAAGUCCAGAUCAGACAAAUGGCAGUCCCAGUGACAUCACUUCUGGAUCAUGGUCCCUUGACCAAGCCCCUUCCAGUCUGGCAUCUUCUUAAGGGGAAACACCACCGUCUUUGAUUCAGUCGUGACUUUACUACGGUUUGCAUAACACCUUGUAUUUUGCUUAUAAUUAUUUUUGCCUUUUUCUACCAAUUAUAUGGGGUUCACCUCUAAGGUGCCUCAAAUCUC